rnacentral:rRNA from 1 species
UACGAAGGGUGCAAGCGUUACUCGGAAUUACUGGGCGUAAGGGUGCGUAGGUGGUUUGUUAAGUCUGCUGUGAAAUCCCCGGGCUCAACCUGGGAAUGGCAGUGGAUACUGGCAAGCUAGAGUGCGGUAGAGGGUAGUGGAAUUCCCGGUGUAGCAGUGAAAUGCGUAGAGAUCGGGAGGAACACCAGUGGCGAAGGCGGCUACCUGGACCAGCACUGACACUGAAGCACGAAAGCGUGGGGAGCAAACAGG